CGAGAGGACCGGAACAGGAGAACCACUGGUGUACCAGUUAUCCCGCCAGGGGUAAUGGCUGGGUAGCUAUGUUCUUUCUGGAUAAGCGCUGAAGGCAUCUAAGCGCGAAGCCUAUCCCAAAACUAGAAAUCCCUUUCCGUUUUUUCGGGAUGAAGGCAGGUUGGAGACUACGACCUUGAUAGGGUGCAGGUGCAAGCAUAGUAAUAUGUUCAGCCGAGCACUACUAAUAUGCCAAUCGGCUUGGUGCC
rnacentral:rRNA from 1 species